GUCAGUGAGUCCAAUCGGUGAGAGCAUCUGGCUGUUAACCAGGAGGUUGGUGGUUCGAACCCACCCAGGGACA